GUGAGGAAUAUUGGUCAAUGGGCGGAAGCCUGAACCAGCCAUCCCGCGUGCAGGAAGACGGCCCUAUGGGUUGUAAACUGCUUUUCCAGGGGGUGAAUUUCUCGGUCGUGACCGGGAUUGACGGUACCCUGGGAAUAAGCAUCGGCUAACUCCGUGCCAGCAGCCGCGGUAAUACGGAGGAUGCGAGCGUUAUCCGGAUUUAUUGGGUUUAAAGGGUGCGUAGGCGGGCCAAUAAGUCAGUGGUGAAAACCUGCAGCUUAACUGUAGACUUGCCGUUGAUACUGUUGGUCUUGAGUAUGGUCAAGGUAGGCGGAAUGUGUAAUGUAGCGGUGAAAUGCUUAGAUAUUACACAGAACACCGAUUGCGAAGGCAGCUUGCUGGGCCAUUACUGACGCUGAUGCACGAAAGCGUGGGGAUCAAACAGGAUUAGAAACCCUAGUAGUCC
rnacentral:rRNA from 1 species